GCAGGAGUAGUCAAGCCUGGCCAAAGAAAGCAAUAAUGCUUUUGGACACGCGGGACUUAAGAUCCCGUCUCUCAGGAGUUCGUGAGUUCGAAUCUCACCUCCUGCA
rnacentral:tRNA from 2 species